rnacentral:rRNA from 1 species
GUAGGGGGCAAGCGUUGUCCGGAUUUACUGGGCGUAAAGCGCGUGUAGGCGGCCACGCAGGUCCGUUGUGAAAACUAGAGGCUUAACCUCUAGACGUCGACGGAAACCGUGUGGCUAGAGUCCGGAAGAGGAGAGUGGAAUUCCUGGUGUAGCGGUGAAAUGCGCAGAUAUCAGGAAGAACACCAAUGGCGAAGGCAGCUCUCUGGGACGGUACUGACGCUGAGACGCGAAAGCGUGGGGAGCGAACAGGAUUAGAUACCCUGGUAGUCCACGCCGUAAACGAUGGGUGCUAGGUGUGGGAGGUGUCGACUCCUUCCGUGCCGUAGCUAACGCAUUAAGCACCCCGCCUGGGGAGUACGGCCGCAAGGCUAAA